rnacentral:lncRNA from 1 species
GAAGGGGUAACACCUGCUCCAUCAAAUUCCUGUAACCUGCCUAGUUUCAUGGAUGAAACGAGGAGAUUUGGGCUUGGAAGAUACCUAGGAGGUUUCCCUAUAGUGCUGUGGACAAUUUGGCUGUGACAAUCUGGCUAUGGCAAUUUGACUAAGGGUAGUGUGAAGACUGGAUUUGGCUCUCCCCUGAUUGUUACAAUGAAGAGAUUGAAUGGCCUCAAUUGUACCAUCAGGAAAACAAUAAGCAUGAAAUUUCCUUUCCAAAUACAUCCUAAUUAAACAAAGAGACAAAGAAACAAAAGAACCCAUGGAAAUUGGUUGUCACUGGUGUGUAUAUUGGAAGUGAUCCCAAAGGUGGUGUAAUCAGCAGUGAGUUCUUUUGAGCCCAAACCCAAUGGAGGAAAGGUAAUUCUCAAGACUAAACAAUUCAUUCUCUCAACUGUGUGUCAUUUACAAAUAGGAAAUAAAUGUCUAAUGGUGUAAGUAAACA